GCACCUGCAGUGAAUGGUUGUGCGGAACUGCUCCAGCUUCCUGAUCAAGAGGAACUAGCAGACCUACAGCAACGAGUCCAACAACCUGAAGGCCCACAACUCCUUCCGCUACAACUGGCUGAUCCACCGCAAGACGGUGGGCGUGGAGCCGGCGGCCGAGGGCAAGGGCGUCAUGGUGGUCAUGAAGUGGAGGUCCGACCAGCGAAAGCCAGCCACUUCCUACGUGCGGACCACCAUCAACAAGAACGCCAAGGCCACGCUCAGCAGCAUCAAGUACAUGAUCCGCGAGAAUAAGUACCGCCCCGACCUGCGCAUGGCUGCCAUCUGCAGGGCCAGCGCCAUCCUGUGCAGCCAGAAGCCCGUGAUGGUGAAGAGAAAGCGGACCCGCCCCACCAAGAGCUCCUGAGCUCGCUCCCCAGAAGCAAUAAAGAGUCCGCUGCCUGCCUC